rnacentral:rRNA from 1 species
CUACGGGGCGCUCCAGUAGGGGAUAUUGCACAAUGGAGGAAACUCUGAUGCAGCAACGCCGCGUGAAGGAAGACGGUUUUCGGAUUGUAAACUUCUAUCAGCUGGGAAGAAAAUGACUGUACCAGACUAAGAAGCCCCGGCUAACUACGUGCCAGCAGCCGCGGUAAUACGUAGGGGGCAAGCGUUAUCCGGAUUUACUGGGUGUAAAGGGUUCGUAGGCGGUUAUUUAAGUCAGAUGUGAAAGCCCGAGGCUCAACCUCGGGACUGCAUUUGAAACUGGAUAACUAGAGUACAGGAGAGGAAAGCGGAAUUCCUAGUGUAGCGGUGAAAUGCGUAGAUAUUAGGAAGAACACCAGUGGCGAAGGCGGCUUUCUGGACUGUAACUGACGCUGAUGAACGAAAGCGUGGGGAGCGAACAGGAUUAGAUACCCUCGUAGUC